rnacentral:lncRNA from 1 species
CCACUCCGUUGGGGCAAUCGGUGAAUUUAAUAAUAGGCGAAGCAAAUGAAAGAGAAGGUAGCCUGCCCUUAGGCACCUGGGAAUAUUUUAAAGGGUGGCAUUUUCAAUUAGGACGGACUUGCUGCUCCUCAUUGUAGUUGCGUUUUAAUAAACGCUUUGCAUCAUUAAUCGCGAUUUCCACUUCUCUCUUCAAUUUGUUUUGUGUGUUGUCAUUGCAUAUUGAGGCACUCAUCAAGGAACUCAUCUGCUGUCAUGAAUCCAGUAUCCUGCAAAAACGUACCGUCACUGAUAAAAGCUGUAAUUGCGUGUCGUUUUUAUGGUUUUAUGUGGCUGUAAACGCUUACGCAGUCUCGGGGCAAUAAACAUGAUCAUUUUGCACGCUAGUGGGAUCAAAUAAAGGGGUACGAAUUCCCGCAGACUCGUGACACCACUUGUCAGGACCAGCAAUGACGGCGUCCUAAGCCCAGGCAGCAUGCAGAUUCGACUCAGGAAACUAAUGACGAGGAGGAAGAAGGGAAAGAUUGCUAUCAUAAUAAUAUAUUUGUAAACAAAUGCAGACACAACGCACAUGUUAGAAUUUAUAUGGAAGCUUUAGUAAAAUGUUGUGUGUUAAAUUAUAUACAACUAACAGCGAUGCGUACAAUUGCGUUUACUUUAUUAACCUCGUGAAAUCAACAUGCUUUUCUACUACACCACUUGUGAUUUGAAAGGAACCUAAAGGCACAAAGUGCGCACCUAAGGCACCUAUGCCCAGAAAGUGUGCUUUGAAGGUACCUAUGAGCCAGCAAUGUAUGGUGAGGUUUUAUGUGGGAAUAAUUUUUUUUCAACACGUGAAACAGACGUAGUUUACUAGUACUCCUUUGCCGGUCAGCAUAAAGCCAUUUCAUGAACCCUUUUGCCGGCCCUAGCAUUCGACGUCGACAUUGCAUUCGCAAAUAUAUCCAAAAAUAUAUCUGCCGAAGAUACCAACCACUCCAGCAGCACACAGUAGCAGCAGCCACGCAAUACCCCACAGGAUUCGCAAAGAAAGCUUAUCAAUGAAAAUCAUAAGUUCUUAAAAGGCAGUAAAUUUCUGCCAGGUUCGAUGGUCUGUUAGCACAAGCCACGGAUCUUAAGCGCCGAUAAUAAGAAUGGAAGAACGGCAAAAAGACGAAUUCGGUGACAUCAGCCACUACUAUGUUCCAAAGUGGAUGUCCGUAAUAUUCAUCCAUCUGUCAAAUUCAGUAUCUGUGCAUUUGUCUCAUAUUUUCAUCUCACAAAGCCAUGGCGACAACGUUUUACUUGAUUGCAGAUACAUUUAUAAUUUUUCCCACUGUCUUUCAGAAUGUCAUUCGCUUUGAGUCAGAGUGAUAAGGAAAGCAUAUAUGACCCGCAAGCGCUCAAGAAGCACACGACACUAUGAAAGUGGACAAAAUAGCACGGCGUAUUGGCGUGCUAUGGCAAAGUAUGCUUGAUCGGUGUCUUUGGGAGAAAUAACCAACUGCUUGUAGCAUUUUGUGCUUCAUAGUUUGCUUAUGAAAAAGGGUCGCACUAUCUUUCAUGUACUAAAUAUACAAUAUGCGUUUUUACUUUACGUAAAUACCACUUAUUUCAAAUGUUUAUACCAAACAGCAUCAGUGCAUGGAUAGCCAGUUAGUGUUGUUUUUCUCUGCUUUGUGUAUCUUAUAUUGUCAUAUACCUGCUUGUACCAAUUCUUGCCAAAUAAACGAAAUUAUUGCUAAAACGUUCGUGACACCACGUGUUCUUUAGUUUGGUUAAAAUCAUGGAUAUCUUUCUAUGUAGUAAUCUUUGUCAAUAUUGGUCGGACAUGUUCCAGAACUGACUUCUUGGUUUAUUUUUCCGGGGCAUUUAAACUCUAGAAACAGAUGUCAUUGUGUCAGCUUUUAUGGGCCGAGAGUAGACAUAAUCUCGCUAAGGUUUCCUCGUGAACCGAAUAGGCGGCACAGUGUUGUUUAAAAUACCACUUCUUGACUUGUUGGCUUAUUUUAUCUUGCAGUUACAUGGGUGACAUGAUAGAUGCCAAUUCUGAGAAGAGGGACUACAUUAAAACUUCCUCCCUGACGCGCGCGAGCUUGAGCCACCAUCCUCGGUUAACCCUUGCCAGCUACCCAGCUCCCUGGGCUUCGAAGCUUGCUGGAGUUUGUAGAUGCAACUGGGAUCGCAGCCUUGUGAGCACCCGCUACAACGCUGGCCCCUUUGCUGAGGAUCGCCACCUGCCCUCUUCUGCACAUGAAUGAGAGGUCUACAUUCUAAGAACAUUAUAUCAGCCUUUAGUCAUCGCCUCACGCUGUGAUGUCAUGGGCACUCGAGAAGAUGUACUUACGUCAAGGUCAGCGUGGCCACAAUGAAGCUGUGGACUAGCAUUGGUUUGAAUUCUCUGUAAAUGGUGACGCGUGAAUGCUGUGCGCAGCAGCAGACGGUACAAUAAAGUUAGAAAACUUAUAUUGUC